rnacentral:misc_RNA from 1 species
CCCCCUGAAAACGAUAGAUUUCACUGGUCCAGGGAGUGGGCUUAGCCCCCAUAGCACCCCCCCUGAAUACGCCUCUGAUGUCGUUAUUCAUUUUCACAUGAGUAUAUAGUAUAACUAAUCAUAUCCUAGCUCGUAUUCAUGAAAUUAUUCAUUAAUUCCGGGUUUAUCAGAACCCAUUGUUUAAUCGUUUUCAAAAUAUUUUAGAUUUUUUUUUUCAAAAAAAAUCCUCAUAUAUUUCAUGGGUCUGUACUCUGUAUGUUAAAGGUUGAAUUUAUUCCAGAAGAAUGCUGGAUGUCCGGUUGAAGAUGUCAAAUAUUUAUAAAUUUAUUCUACUCUUCCUUUUCAUGGUGUCCAUCAUUUAUCUCUACAAAUCAUCUUUUAUAAAAAUUAAAGUUACAGAUAAAUUGGAAGCUCAAGAAAAAGAAUCUGUCCGUGUAGAUGUUUAUUAUGAAUGUUUGUGCCCAGACAGCAGACAUUUUGUUGUUCACCAGUUGUUCCCAGCUUGGAGUUUGCUAAAGGAGAUUAUGGAGGUUAACCUCAUCCCCUACGGGAAAGCCAGUUCAAAGAAAUCUGGAGAUCUGUACGAGUUUCAAUGUCAGCAUGGUCCGGUAGAGUGCACCGGAAAUACAUAUCAUGCCUGUGUGGCCAAAACUUCAAAACCGGAAAUUAGUUUAUUAUAUGUAAAAUGUAUGAUAGAAAACAACCUAAAUCCGUCUAGUAUAGCAGAAAAAUGCGCGGGAGAACUUGCUGUCCCAUUCUCUGAGAUAGAUACGUGUGCCAAGGGACGUGAAGGAAAUAUGCUGAGUUUCAUGAUGGGAGAACUUACACACUCAUUAAGUCCGUCAGUUACAUUUAUUCCUACAGUAGAAAUAGAAACAAGUCAGAAGAGGUUUCGAGACUCUUUAAAGAAUCUGUCCCUUCAAGUAUGUUUGGAGUACAAGGAGAAGUACAUGAAAACAUUCCCAGCUUGUAGAGAACUACUUCAGUAGUCUACAUUAGUUCUGAUUGCUGUACACCGUACAGAAACAUAUGUUGUACUGUACUGUACUGAACACUCUACAGAAACUCUCAUGCUGUACACUUACUGUUUUACUUCUAAACCAUCAAUUGUACAACAAAUACAGAAAUUUUUUUUAAAAAAUUAUUCAGUUCGGAAUUUGAUAUAUCACCUCUUUUUACUCUUUACAUGUUCACUGCAUUUAGAUCAGAUAGUUUUCACAUUUGUUGCUUACUGCGAAAUUUCCAGUUUCAUAAUAUCAGAAAUCUAGGCAGCAUAUAGUUCUAGUUCUAGCCGUUUUUUUUUAAAUUAAGAAGUUACCAUAGCAUUUUCACAAUAAAAACAAAUAAAUCUCUUUUAGCAAAAGAUAAAGUUGAAUAGUAAUGCUAAUCGCAGUUUUCAAAUAAAGGGUUCUCUAAAAUCAUAAUUAAAGGCAUUUAUCUAAAUUAAAAACAUCAAUACUGCAUUUUUACUGUGUCGAGCAUUUCAAAAGUAAUGUUAUUUCUGAAAAAAAAGAGGGGAAUGGGAAAUUUUUCAUCCUUUUUUAGUACCCCCUACACAAGCACUUUUUUAUAUAUACAAGUACUGCCAUUUAUUUUAAGAUAAAAUUAAACUUUCUUUUUGUUGGACGAAUUUGCUGCAAUUUUUAUAAGAGCUUUAGUUUUAUAAUUGUUUAAAAUGAAUAAAUUUAUGAAAUUUUUUUUAACAAUUUGCAGUUGUAAUGUUUAUGUAUACACAUUUAUGUGAUUGAAUGUCAGAGCUAUCAGAGCUAGAAGAGAAUGCAUUUCGAAUUUUCACAAUAAAAGAUUAAUACUGAA